AUUUUCAAUUACAAAUAUUUUUUUAAUUAUUACUAAUUUGUUUUCAACAACAAUGUAGCAUCAUUAGACAAUAAUGUUAAAUAAGAUAUGAAUAGGUCAACGUGUUAUCAGCUGAUUGGUUGUUUACAUCAUGCAUUUAGAUCCAUCUAUGUUUGCACAUGUCAUUUAGUUAGUGUUUUACCUGCACUACUGUCACAUAGACUAGAUAUGUGAUGCUCAUGUAAGCAAGAACAGAAGCCUUGAGUUUAAAAAACCAUGAGCCUUCUCUCGUCCUUGGGUUAGUGUAACUUUUGCGCACAUUUGCAGUGUUAGUUAACUAGACAAUUAGGUGUACAGCAUAAAUAGUUAUUUAGUUUCGUAUGUACACAUAUCUACACGUAUAGUACAAUUUUUUUUUAUUUAGUAUAUUUACAUUGAGUAGAUGAUAAUCAAAAAUAUGAGUUGCGAUUAUUAUGAGUGAAACAUUGAAUGUAAAAUGCAUUACGGUACAUCACAGACAUUGUCAUCACUGUCCCGGUUGUCUUGUAGACAUCAUGUACAGAGGACAUACACAACUGUAACUAGGCAUGGUUGUUGAUUAGACCGACACUUUACAUAUUAGACAGACACUUUAUAUUUUAGACAUAGACUUCAACAUAAGACAGACACUACUGUAACGUAGGCGAGGCUGUUGAUUAGACUGACGCUUGACAUAUUAGAAAGACACUUCUACAGAAGAUAGACAGAGCUGUAGAAUUGACUGACACGAGUCUAGUGUAGACAACUGAAGAAAAAGCAGGUCAUUGAAUCAAAACUGUACAAAAUGAGCACGCCAACGGGUCACUGAGACAGAAUUUCAAGCAACUUCGUUUCCAUAUCAUGAAGCAUUGGAGAAGGCAAGAAGGCAGCUGCAAAGCGAUGAACAAGUCCAGAUAGAACGUACAAAAAACCUAAAUGCCAAAUUCUUUUUCUUUGGAUGGAUACAUGUGAGUAGAGGAAGAGGAAGACUACAUUGGAUGGAUAUUUCAUAUCUGAUGAAACUUAGACUAGGGUUAACAUUUUAUUGAACAAAAAACUUCCUUAUUGGGAUUUUUGGUUGACUUCUCUCUGCAUAUUCUGUAAAGCUAAUAUUAAAGUUAGAGAAAAAUUUUUUUUUACACACAUUUAUAUUUGAGAAACAUAGGUACUCUCUCAAAUGUUUCAAAAUAAUAUCACACAAAUGUAUUUGAUAGUUGGCAAUAGCGGUUCUUAAUAGGGAGAUAAAUAUACAAAAGGAGAAAUAAGUCUAGCUUUUACGCAAUAUAUUAAAUUAUAAUCCUUAUAAUACACAAUUAAAAAAAAAAAUUGCAAUUUUAUAAUAAAUCAGUUUGAAGCAAAACAUCUUAAGUCAAUUAAUGAUAAUGGACGGCACACUCGCGCACAAAAUAAAACGUAUUGCUUAGGCUAAGAAAUCAAUCUUCGUUUUAUGUUCAGUUAAUUAUACAACUUUUAGUGAGCAAUUCAACUACACUGACAUAACUAUAUAUUACACAAAAUCAUUCAGAUGUCUAUUGUGUACACACCAGCAUGCACUUCAUAUAGAUGCAAGUUACAUUGUAUUGGGGUGAGUGUAUGGCAAGAGACUGUGUGUUUGGUGUGAGAAGGUUGAGGGAUUGAAUUCACCACUACACUGAGUCAAAUACAUACCAAAAUACACAUCCCCCCCCCCCCCCCC